GGCUGGCGCGCCUGCGUAGUGCCGCCUGAGUCUCCGCGAUGCGGGUGGGGAGGUUUAACUCGACCUUUGGGUGGCGGGGCUCCCGGGGCUGCUGUACCUUCUUGUGCGCCCCACUCUACGGGUCGGAGAUGGUGGGGGAACCGAGUUCAAGACCCACUCAGUUCCUAUGCUUCCUAGGGAAUGACCCGGGGAGGUGUGGUGCUGGAGAAGGGGAGAGGCGAAGGAGUGCUGCAACUCUGCAGAAACCCAGCGAGCGGUGUGCUGCAGCUUGUGCCCGCGCGGUGAGGGCCCUGGCCAUCACUCUGCCUCACAGCUGCGGACCCUGACCCCUCCUCCCCUUCGCACUGCUUCAGCCCCGGUCACUUUUUGCCCUGUAACCGUGCCAGUGAGCCUCCUCGAGCUCGCUGCGCCCUGCCCAUCCUUAGGGCUGCGUUCCGAGUUUCUGUCCGGUCUCAGCCGAAAAGCUCCACCAGCAUCUCCUCUUAAAGAUCCCGCUUCCUCCACACCGAUCGCCCCUCCGCGCCCUCCCGCCUUCCAGUUUAGUCUUGCUGAAGGCUGGCGCUGCUUACCAUGUUCUUCUCAAAAGAUACAGGGAGUCUCUCCGUCAGCCCCUGUAAGAAUGGACCCCCCCCCUUUGCACCCACGUGCCUGCUCGCCUCUUAAGCACAUCUGGAACUGUGCCAUUCGCUUCCCCAUCUAGUCGCUACCUGGUGUAUACACAACAAAUAGAUGCGAGUUGAUUGAAUGGAUGGAUCGCGUGGUCGGACUCAUUUUCCAGAUGAGGAAAGAUUCGAAUGUGUGUGGCCAAAGGAAUAACUCCAUGAUUUCCAAAAGCCUAGAGAACAUAUAGCAGAGGCUUAUCUACUGCACUGGUCAUUUUGAAGAAUUACUGGAAGGUAGCAGUUCCAGCUGAAAGGAAGAGUGAAGAAGCUUUUGUCCCCUGGAUGUUGACCCUCACGGUGAACUUGGGAGUCAGGUGUGGAGGGUAGCCAGUGUCUCUGUCAGCCUGGGCUCCUGAAAUGAUCCCAGGAGGCAGGAGCAUGCAGACAGCUGCUACCAUCUUCUUGCCUGACACCAAUUGUGCUUUUGGAACUGCUUUCAGACGGCACCUAGGAUGCUCCUGAGGUUGCUACCCACAAUGCCUUUCUCUUCGGUGAGCCUGGAUGUGCUGGUCCUUAUCUGGCCUAUCCCCUCACUCUGCCACACAACCUGUCAUACCACAACCUUCCAUAAAGAAGCUAUGGCUGGGGCCAGGUGGUGGUACACACCCGGGUUACCUACUAGGAUAUAACAUUUGGGAGAAUAUUCGUAGAAAGCACUGAUCAACAUGGCAUUCAUAACUUCGGUAUUGUUUUCAAAGCGUGGGUAUUCCAAGAUGGUUCUCUACAGAGUAAGUAACGCCAGAUAACCAGUUCAGUGAACAUUCCAUAUGAUAUACUUAAGCAGCUUGACCACCCAGCAAGUCCCUCAUUUCACACUCCAUUUCCUCAUUUGUAACAUAGUACACUGUAGGCAUUUCAAGUAUAACUUAGAAUUUUUUAAGCUUCUGGAUGUGUAGUAAUCCACAUAUUUUCUUAAACGUUUACCUUCCUCUGAGCUAGCCACACUCCAUUAUAAUCCAUGUGAAUACCGACCAA